UGGGGAAUAUUGGACAAUGGGCGAAAGCCUGAUCCAGCCAUGCCGCGUGUGUGAAGAAGGUCUUCGGAUUGUAAAGCACUUUAAGUUGGGAGGAAGGGCAUUAACCUAAUACGUUAGUGUUUUGACGUUACCGACAGAAUAAGCACCGGCUAACUCUGUGCCAGCAGCCGCGGUAAUACAGAGGGUGCAAGCGUUAAUCGGAAUUACUGGGCGUAAAGCGCGCGUAGGUGGUUUGUUAAGUUGGAGGUGAAAUCCCCGGGCUCAACCUGGGAACUGCAUUCAAAACUGACUGACUAGAGUAUGGUAGAGGGUGGUGGAAUUUCCUGUGUAGCGGUGAAAUGCGUAGAUAUAGGAAGGAACACCAGUGGCGAAGGCGACCACCUGGACUAAUACUGACACUGAGGUGCGAAAGCGUGGGGAGCAAACA
rnacentral:rRNA from 1 species